AACUUUCAGCAAUGGAUCACUUGGCUCUCGCAUCGAUGAAGAACGCAGCGAAAUGCGAUAAGUAAUGUGAAUUGCAGAAUUCAGUGAAUCCUCGAAUCUUUGAACGCACCUUGCACCCUUUGGCAUUCCGAAGGGUAUGCUCGUUUGAGUGUCAUUGUACUCUCACACUCCCGAUGCUUUUGGAUUGGGAGUGGUGGACUUGGGUGUUGCUGCUUUACUGUGGCUCACCUCAAAUGGAGUAGUGCAACUCUUGGUUGGACAUAGUACGGCGUGAUAAGUGUCUUCGCCGGCACCUCAUUAGAGGGUGGCCGAUCGGGAGCUCUGUGCUUCAAACCGUCUUCGGACAACAUCUGACAACUUGACCUCAAAUCGAGUAGGACUACCCGCUGAACUUAAGCAUAUCAAUAAGCGGAGGCU
rnacentral:misc_RNA from 1 species